rnacentral:lncRNA from 1 species
UUUCAUUUAUUGAGACGAAAUGAAGCGUUGAGAAAUGUUCAUUAACAUCAUGUACAGUUUCGGGAUAUAUCCAAAUUGUAUGUUUGUACAAAGGUAUGGCAGUGUGUUUUCAAUAUUAUAAUUAAUCAGCUUCGAACCUGUCACUUUUGAACCAAUCAAACACACAGUCGAGGGUACUACGUCAUAUUGCAUGUGUUUUCUUUACCAAAUAUGGGAUUAGGUAAACACAGCCAUAUGUUGUUACACUACGUGUGACAGUUUUAUGUUAUCGGGCAUAUGUUUAUGGGAAUCAGAUAUGCAGCCGUCACAGCCUGUUGAUGAAGAUCCUCAGCUUAUACAGAGGUCAUGCUUGAGCUAUGUGCUGAUUCAAAAGAUGCUAAUGACAGUGGAUAAUCCAUUCUGAGUUGUUCUAGGACCAUUUACCAACGUUUCAAAACACUGAUGGAACUGAAGGCAGUGCAUGUACUAGUGUCUGGCCUGUGAUUUCAAGUAUAAUUGAUGUACCUCCUCCUGAUGUAUCUCCUUGAAUACAAUAUAUCUGCCAUGUGAAAGGAACAAGCUGCAAGAUAUACUGUGGAAGUGGGGGCCUAUGUAAAAAACAUUUUAUUUAAAGAAUAUAAGAAAUCUGAUACUAAACUACUGAAAAUGUGCACAGGGGACAUUUUUGUGUGUAUAGAUUUUCAUCAAGAUUCUGAGAAAGUUGAUUUAUUAAACAAAAAUAGUCAUAUUAUGUCUUCAAAGCUGAAAAGAUUAAGAUCUUAGGAAAACAUUAGGACUCAAAAAAGUAAUGGGGUUAUAAAACUGUAGUGUUCAACAUUUAAAUUGUUUUUGUUUUUUCACUACAUUUUGUGAAGAGGGUUCCAUCACAAGAUGUGACAUAUUGGUAAGAAUGAGAUGUAGUUUAUGAAAAAAAAAAGUAUUUUGCUUUAAAUGUGCUGACUUUAAGUUACAUAAAAAUCAAAGCUGUAACAAUAAAGCUUGAUUAAAAAAACACACUGUUGAAAACUAACCCUUAUGUAAAUGUCACACUUUUUGGGUGCACAGGGGACACAAUUAGCUAUAUAAUUUAGUUUAACUUUAACCCUUAGGCCCUUGCUAAAUUUCUAUAAUGAACUU